rnacentral:lncRNA from 1 species
GCAAUAAUAAUGCAUGUGUUUCACAUGUCUAUGCCAAAUAAAUAAUAAUAAAGUCACUCCAUAUUGUGCAUGAAUUUUUUUAACUUUAAAUAUUUUUAGAGAAUAAUAUCAUUCCAUUGUUCUCUUCCUCUUCCUUCUCCCAAAUCUACCUAUAUAAAUCCUGCUCUCUUUCAAAUUCAUGGCCUCCUUUUCUUUAAUAUUUGUGACAUGAUUAAGAUUUGAUUCCUUACUUCGCUUCAUAUCAAAUUGAAAAAAAAAAGCAUUCAAAACUGUUUGUUAUUUACCUCAGUUUACAACCUUAAACUCAACCAAACUAUGUAUCUUUUACUCUGUAGUAGGACAGUACAGAUAGGAAAAGAGUGAGGAGGGAGGCAGAUGCAGAGACUGCAUUGACCUUGGAGAAGUAGUUGUAUCUGAGUGGUGAGACUUGCUGGUCAUUUCAGUUUUCUCCCUCUAGUUAGUUAAAUUUCUGAGUUGUGAUAUUUUCAGUUAUAAAUUAAAGAAACAUUUAUAAUGUACAUUUCUAAUAUUUUAAUAAUGGUGCCCCAGGGAAGGAGGAUGCUGGGAGGUGAGAGUGAGUGUGAGGGUGGGUGGGAGAGUGAGUGGGAGGGUAGGUGAAUUGAUGGGGAAGAACCCUCUCAUAGGCAAAUGGGAUGAGAGUGUACAGUGAAAAAUUAUGGUAGGGGGGACCAGAAGGAGGGCAACAUUUGGAAUGUUAAUAAAUAAAAUAAUCUAAUAAAAUAGUUUAAAAAUAUGACAAAAUGAAUUAGCACAUUCAAAUUCUAAGUCUCUGAGCCUAUAAAAAUAAUGUACAUGUUGUUUACUAUUUUUAUUAUUUAAAAUAACAAUCAUUUUUCAAGUCUAAUAUUGAAAUUUUUGAAAGAUUAUAUUUUCUUGAAAUAUUAAUCUAUUUCUCUAAACUUUCUAAAAUUUGGAGAUGG